UACGAAGGGGGCUAGCGUUGCUCGGAAUCACUGGGCGUAAAGGGUGCGUAGGCGGGUCUUUUAAGUCAGGGGUGAAAUCCUGGAGCUCAACUCCAGAACUGCCUUUGAUACUGAAGAUCUUGAGUUCGGGAGAGGUGAGUGGAACUGCGAGUGUAGAGGUGAAAUUCGUAGAUAUUCGCAAGAACACCAGUGGCGAAGGCGGCUCACUGGCCCGAUACUGACGCUGAGGCACGAAAGCGUGGGAGCAAACAGG
rnacentral:rRNA from 1 species